rnacentral:rRNA from 1 species
UACGGGGGGGGCAAGCGUUGUUCGGAAUUACUGGGCGUAAAGGGCUCGUAGGCGGCCAACUAAGUCAGACGUGAAAUCCCUCGGCUUAACCGGGGAACUGCCUCUGAUACUGGAUGGCUUGAGAUUGGGAGAGGGAUGCGGAAUUCCAGGUGUAGCGGUGAAAUGCGUAGAUAUCUGGAGGAGCACCGGUGGCGAAGGCGGCAUCCUGGACCAACACUGACGCUGAGGAGCGAAAGCCAGGGGAGCAAACGGG